rnacentral:rRNA from 1 species
GAUGAACGCUGGCGGCGUGCCUAAUACAUGCAAGUCGAGCGAACAGACGAGGAGCUUGCUCCUCUGAUGUUAGCGGCGGACGGGUGAGUAACACGUGGAUAACCUACCUAUAAGACUGGGAUAACUUCGGGAAACCGGAGCUAACACCGGAUAACAUGUUGAACCGCAUGGUUCAACAGUGAAAGACGGUCUUGCUGUCACUUAUAGAUGGAUCCGCGCCGCAUUAGCUAGUUGGUAAGGUAACGGCUUACCAAGGCAACGAUGCGUAGCCGACCUGAGAGGGUGAUCGGCCACACUGGAACUGAGACACGGUCCAGACUCCUACGGGAGGCAGCAGUAGGGAAUCUUCCGCAAAGGGCGAAAGCCUGACGGAGCAACGCCGCGUGAGUGAAGAAGGUCUUCGGAUCGUAAAACUCUGUUAUUAGGGAAGAACAAAUGUGUAAGUAACUAUGCACGUCUUGACGGUACCUAAUCAGAAAGCCACGGCUAACUACGUG